rnacentral:rRNA from 1 species
UGGGGAAACCCAGUGUGACUCGUCACACUAUCAUUAACUGAAUCCAUAGGUUAAUGAGGCGAACCGGGGGAACUGAAACAUCUAAGUACCCCGAGGAAAAGAAAUCAACCGAGAUUCCCCCAGUAGCGGCGAGCGAACGGGGAGGAGCCCAGAGCCUGAAUCAGCAUGUGUGUUAGUGGAAGCGUCUGGAAAGGCGCGCGAUACAGGGUGACAGCCCCGUACACAAAAGCGCAUGUGCUGUGAGCUCGAUGAGUAGGGCGGGACACGUGGUAUCCUGUCUGAAUAUGGGGGGACCAUCCUCCAAGGCUAAAUACUCCUGACUGACCGAUAGUGAACCAGUACCGUGAGGGAAAGGCGAAAAGAACCCCGGCGAGGGGAGUGAAAAAGAACCUGAAACCGUG